CAAAUCAGCAGGAUGCCUGACUUUAACUGCAGUUCGGCAGUUUCACUUUAACUCAUGAACAUUUCAUUCAUCCCGCGUGACAAACUGGGGUAAUAGACGCAAAUAAGAAGCAAGAACUGAUGAGAAUGUUAUGGAAUUUAACAACGCUCGCCAAAUGGAACGAAAAAAAAAACUUCCGCAUUUCGCGACGCGUGUUUGUGUGUACAGAGAUAACAGAGUGAUACAGUACGUGUGUGACAUUUAAAAGUAUUUAUAGUGUUUACACUGUCAUGCGUUUUCGGCCUCAAAUACAACGUGUACCUUAAAGCACACAAUUAAAUGUUUGUUGUAGUCGAGUUGAACUGUCAUUGAUAUUUAUUUAUUCACUUUUAAGAACCUCAAGGGCAGCUAAUAUGAAGAUAUAAAGAUGAGUUGUUCUUCCACAGUCUUAAAAUUCUUCAAACUAAUUGUCAGUUCGAUUCAUUAUAGCAAACAAUACUUUCUUUACUAUUAGGAGAUCAGGAGUUUUAUUUUAAUGAAACCUUGAUAAUAGAGUGAACUACACAUGGUGUUAUCGCAAAUGAAAUCUUUUUAUGUAGAUUUUAAGUGAGUUUUAUUUGCACAAAUAAGGUUCACUGAUAUUUUGCUUUGUUGACUUUCAGGUUCUUUCAUUUUGGUUAUAAGUACAUGUUACAGGUGUGUUGGUGUAAAAAUUGAUGCUGACUGAACUCAGGCAGUUGUGCUGGACCCUCUGUACCGUAUACAGGAGAUGACUGUAAACUUUCAAGUUUAAGAGGUGUGUUGGUGUAAAAAGUGAUGCUGACUGAAGAAGAGUCCAUAGUCACAAUAACAAGAUCAUUGAGCUGUCCCCUAAUUGUGGUGAGCUACAUGUUUAGUCUCUUAUGUGCUAAACAUUAUGUAGCCUAAGGAAGCAGCCCCGACUCUGGAGUUUAUAUGAAGGAGCAUGCUGAGUAACUAUCCAGAAUGUAGGUCCAUAGCAGAAAAAAGUGCACCAAGCAGAAACAUACCAUCUAAACUCCUUCGAUUCCUGUCAGACCAGAAAGACUUUCAGAAUCCUUGGAAGAUUUAAAGCCAUUGAAGUAUCAGUAUUGGAGCGGAAGAAGACCCAGUUGUAUCGUCUGUUUCCUGCCAUCUUGCAGUUUAACCUGGUUUCUUAAUGUAAAGUACUUGUAAUUUGCCCACUUGUCCUCAAUUAUCUUAAAGCUAACAUUUAAAACUAAUUUGCUAUGAGAUUAUUUGCCAAGACCUCUCACUGUGUGAUUCACAUGUCAAUAUGUAUUAUUGUGUGUAUAACUAGCUAUUUGGAAUUCAAAUGAUUUGUAUUCAUUAAAGAAUCUGUUUUAAUUGCAAAGUUGUUUUUGUACUAAUCAUUGUAAGUUCACAGUUAACAAACUAUUUACUGCUUCUCUACACAUACAGUAUGGAAUACAUGUUUUGUUUUACUAUGGUAAACCAUUAGUAGUGUAUUUCCCAUAUGUAUAGGUUUAUCCUUACCAACUGCUAUUUCUAUGCUGCUUGAAGAGCAUUAAAUUAGUAAAAUAAUAUUUUUUUUACAGUAGGUAUCCCAUUAAAACAAAGAAUCUGUUCAUUUUUUCACUGUAUAUAUACUAUUA